rnacentral:tRNA from 1 species
CAAGAAAUAGUUUAAUUAGAAUAAUAAUUUUGGGGAUUAUUGGUAUAAGUUUAAAUCUUAUUUUUUGA